UCCCAGAGUUCCUAGCGGUCCUAGCAAGAGGUUCUGUUGAGGCUUCUGCACCGGGCAGACUGGAGGAGGGAAACUUUCACCUACAAGGCCCGUGAAACUCCAGGAUGAAGCCUUUUUCGGGUUUCUCUGUGUAGCCCUGGCUAUCCUAGACCUUGCUGUGAAGACCGGCUGGCCUUGAACUCAGAGAUCAACCUGCUUCAGGAUGGCUGGUAUUAAAGAUUGUAUGGAUCAAAUAUGUGAUGUGGAUUAUUAACAACGUCAUCCGGAAUGAAUACUGAGUCUUCUUGCAUUGAUGUUUAUUUUUAUGAAAAUUCCCUUAAUACUUAACAACACGAAAGAACUUGAGAACUUUAUUUUCUGCUGAAGAUAUAAAUGCAUUAAAUGAUGCAAAGAGUUGGUAAAAUAU
rnacentral:lncRNA from 1 species